UUUUUUUGGAAAAACUUGGUUUUGUACUUUUUUUUCUUAUUUUAGUAUUGUAUAAUUUAAAAUGUUUCAAUUUAAUACUAUGUGGUUUCUUAUUUUCUUACUUUAGUAUUUUGUGAUUUAAAGUGCAUCAAUUUAGUACCCUGUGGUUUCAUUUUUUUCUUUUCGUCGGCUCCUCUAUUAAUAUUUCGUUAAAUUAUAUACAAAAAACUUCAGAUAUCCUACUUAGGUUUAUCGAAUAUUUACUUUAGAGUCCUUUAGUUUUAACUUUGUCAUUGAUUUUUUUUUACUCCGUUAAUAUUUCGUUAAAUUAUAUACAAAAAACUUCAUAUACCCUACCUAGGUUUAUCGAAUAUUUACUUUAGUACCCUUUGGUUUUAACUUUGUUACUGAUUUUUUUUUCCUCCGUUAAUAUUUCGUUAAAUUAUAUACAAAAAACUUCAGAUACUCUACCUAGGUUUACCGAAUAUUCACUUUAGUACUCUUUAAUUUUAACUUUGUCACUGAUUUAACGAAAAAAAUUAAUGAAAUAAAUAAUAAAAAGAGAAAAAUAAAGUCACGGGAUACUAAAUUGAUACACUUUAAACCACAGGGGACUAAAGUAAGAAAGUGCAAAACCACGGGAUACUAAAUUGAUACAUUUUAAACCACAUGGUACUAAAGUGAGAAAGUGUGAAACCACAAUGACAGGUAUUUGAACUUUACCCUUUUUUUAAUUUUCUUAUUUAUUUUUCUCAUUU
rnacentral:lncRNA from 1 species